rfam:Picea glauca, whole genome shotgun sequence.
AGAUGAUAUCAUACCAACGUUAAUGCAAAAGAUCCCAUUAGAAAUCCACAUUUAAGCACGCUUAGGAUAGAGUAGUACUGGGAUGGGUGACCUCCUAGGAAGUCCUAGUGUUGCACCCU